GGCCUUCCUCUCCUGGAGGGCUCUCCCCGAGGUCUUGUGGUGCUUGUUCUCUUUCCAGCCAUCGCAGGUUAUACUCCAAGCCCCACGGUGGGCGCCAAUGUUGGGAAGAUGCUCUCCGCACUCCCCAGCAGUACGAUGAAUAGAGAACCUUCUCACUCGGUGCCGUGAGAGAUCUGAGCUCCGACGAGCAGCGGGCUCAACAGUAGGUGAACACAAUGAAUGCUCUCUCUCUUAUUAAUGGCGGUGUCACGCCCCUUAUAUAGGGCCUGGAAACCGACCUAAUGACAUUUACAUAAAUACCCCGUGACGGUGGGGGAAUAUUCCAGUAUAUCCUUUCAUCGCAGUCUACUGACCCUAAUACACCUGCGUAAUUUCACAUUGCAAACCCUUCGUUCAUCCUUUGACUGGGGCCUCAGCAGGUCGGAGGCUUGGAUCCUCCGCCCAGUUGCGGAUCCUCCGACGCUUUGGUGUCGGAGGUUCCGCAGCCCGGCUGGUCGGAGGUUGCUCGACCCGGCCACCCCGGGAGUUCCUCCUUAGCCUGGUCCAGUCGGAGGUUCCUUGGCCUGGCUGCGUUCUCCCGCCAUCCUCGGACCCGGGAGGGUCGGAGGUUCCAACCUUUCCU
rnacentral:lncRNA from 1 species